AACGACUCUCGGCAACGGAUAUCUCGGCUCAUGCAUCGAUGAAGAACGUAGCAAAAUGCGAUACUUGGUGUGAAUUGCAGAAUCCCGUGAACCAUCGAGUUUUUGAACGCAAGUUGCGCCCGAUGCCAUUUGGUUGAGGGCACGCCUGCCUGGGCGUCACACA
rnacentral:rRNA from 1 species